rnacentral:sRNA from 1 species
UGGGUGAAGGCCGCCGGCGGCCACUUCUGUGCGUGUCAGCUCUGGAGAACGUCCCUGGGGAUCAUCCCUCCAUUUCAUGGGGGUCAGCUUCCGGAACGCCACCUGGUCACGCCGCCGCCCUGCUGGCGUCAGAGCAGUGACGAUGACGCACCCG